AAUCUAACUUUGGUCUUAGUAUUUGGUUGGUUAUAAUUAUUCUAACUUUAACUCGUAACUAUUGUCUUACGAUCAAUCUUACUAAUUGUUAUUAACAAUUUGAUGGUAUAAUUAAAUCUAACUUUUAUUCGUAAUUAUCCUUUUACGAAUCAAGUCUUAACUUUAUAACCUUAAUUUUAUUUUUAUCCGUGCGCGUAUCGAUUAUGUGUGUGCAGAUCUAUUUUCUUUCAUCUACGUUCGAUAUUAGCUACUUAAUUUACAUUUAAAUUAUGCUUUUAUAUUCUCCGUUAUUGAAUCGGUUUUGCCAUCGAGUUCGGUUCUAUGCAUCGUGCACUCCGCGACUCAUUGAUUUUCGCAUCGACCCGAGUCGUCGAUCUUGCGACCAUGUGCUCUAUGCUUCAGUCGGGCCGCCACGUGCCACUAGUGUAAUGGCGGCGCGCCACUAGCGUAAUGGCGGCGCCCGGUGAUCACCGCACGUUUUACAUCGCAGUUACGGUUUACGAGUUUUUAAGAAUAAUAAAGUACUCACAGUGAUGUCCGGAUAUUUGUAAAAAUUCACCGUGGCCUGUGCUCUCCUUCUUCGCCUCGGUUAGUGAAAAUCCACCGAUUUAUGCCCGUUGACGAUGCGUAGUCCGCGGUGGGUAAAUAUUUACCUCGUAAAGUCAUUAUCACUAUUCGUCGAGGAAAGUCUUAACUUGCACUACAGCUAGUUGAUAAGUUUGUUCAUCGGCCUUUAUUGAUUUGAGAAAAUCAGCUCGAUGCCCCCGCAUAACCUCAACGAUGUGACAGCUUGCCUUACAGGCACAAAACCUUAGUAACAGUCAUGCAAUUAUUAUAAGCUAUCCUGUUACGACAUAAUCGACAGCGCUUCUGCCAGGAGAAAGGCAUUAGAACUUAGUUUAUUGGUUAUAAUUAUAGUGCUAUAAUUAAUAUGGCGUUCUGUCCAAGAUCAGUUCUACGGGUGUUCCCUCUCCUUGAGUUGCGUUAUAUGACCACACGCUUCUAUGUAUCCCAGACUUUUUCCUUUCCGAUGGAGAGUCUCCGCAUUUGAUUGUAUUACACCCAAAGAGCUCUUGAACACAUUCAGACACUGGUUGCUUCAACUUAUAAUGAAGAGAACGCAUCCUGCUCCGACAGCUAUUAUACAAGAUAAGUAUUGCACUAAUAACUUGUCGCUUCAGGCUUAUCACAUACACAAAUCACAUACAUGCAACUAUCACUAAUACUUUUCUUCCAGGUGGAGGAUUUAACAGAACAAUCAACCACUCUGCUCUCACACAUAAUAUUUGCCUAACUUAAUUUAACUUAAAACCACUCUAACUUCUGUGACGCCAAUGGCCAUACCAUGCGUCUACCCUGCUUGUCGCAUAAUCACUUUCCUGACUGCGACACAAGUUAAACUCAUUGCAAAUUACACAGCUUGUGUAAUUAUAUCAAACUUGUUCAAUUAACAAUGAGCUAUUUCCAUCAUGUUUUGACAACCGACUCAUCGAUGAUGCAUUUCCUUGGAAUUGAAAAAGGAAUGUGCAUAAUUUUGUCCUCCAUCAACACUCAAAAUAUUAUCUACAUGCUAUACUUAGGGAUACUUUCAAAAUACGUUGCUUCAUUUUCCAUCACUGCUUUCCUACUAUCAGUAUGUGAAAGAUUUUUCACAGUAUCCAUCCAUCCGCAAUUUGUAUAAAUAUUAUUUCAGUCUCUCGCGUCACUUGAACUGUAAUAUAAACCAGUCUUUUAUUUUCAUUACUCCUCUGCAUACCAUUUGUCAGGAACAAUACAUUUUAUUUGUAAAUCUAAUAACAUGUGAAGUCCUUCAUUUGUUCUAAGAUCAAUCAAUGAAUAAGUGAAGAGAAUAUUGAAAUCUGUGAAAAUAAGUAUCUAGUAAUAUUACUUCCGAACCAACAUAUUUAUUGCAAUGCUUGUCAAAUUUCAAAGUAAUUUCCUAUCCCUAUUAAACAUAUUUCAUAUAUGUGUAUGUCUAUUAUUUUGAUUAGUUGUUCUACUUGCAAUAAUUCGCCAUUCUGGAUCAUCUAGAUUCAACAAAGAUGCAUUCAAUUUACUCCAUACCUCAUAAAGCUCCUAUUAUCAUAAUUUAAAUGGGAAGAUAGAGAGCUGUGACAGUAUUCAGCUCUCAACUUUGAACAAGGCAUAUUGACAAGCCAGAGUAACUCACAUACAACUUGGUGGUACAA